GGCUCCCGGCGCGGUCCCGGGGCGGCCGGCGCCGCUCCCCAUCGCGGCGCGAGCGCUCCGUGCGCGAAGUUACCGGCCCGAGCGGGACUCCCCGCGCGCUCGGCCCCCGCGGCUCCGCCCUCCGCGCCCGCACAAAGCGAUGCGGACGGGCGAGUUGUUCCGCGGCGCGGCGCCAGAGGGUCCGGAGAGAAACCCCACGGCCGGGUACGAGCCCGCGUCUCCCCUGAACACGCCGGGAGUCGCCGCCCCCGCCUGGACCCCCCCGCCCCGGUCACCCGCCGCGCAUCCCCCGGUGUGGAAAAGCGCGAGAGCGGGCGCUUUAACCCAGAGAAUCAGCAGGACGAGCGAGGGGCGGGGCGGAGGGGAGUGGGCGGGGCUGUGACGAGCUCCGCCCCCACACGCCGGGUGCGAGCAGGGGGCGGGGCCGGCGAAGGCUCGCGAGGGUUGGGAGCGGCCGGGCGCGUGCGCGGUGCGGGCCGGGCCGUGCCGCCCUCAGGAGCCGCGGGGAGAGCGGCGCGCCCCACACGGGGCGGGUUCUGCAGCAAUGGGGAUCGCUGUCCCUCAGCAGGCGGAACAGCAGCCCCGGCGGCAUGGCACCGCUCCCCCUGAGUUUGCCUGCGGUCCCCCUUUCCCUCCCUCCGCAGCUCAGGGAAUGUUGAUUGUCCUCCGUGCCCCCUGAGCUGCUCCGAGCCUUUGCCUUCGGUCGCUUCUGGAGGGGCGGCCCCAUCCUCGCGGUGCCCGCUGAGGCCUCUCGGGGAUGGUCCCGGACUCUCCGGAGAGAGGUGUGAAGGAGGACACUCCUCUCCCUUGCCACUGCUGAGUGACUUUAAAGGGUCCAUCCAGGGCCUGCCACAACCCUGAUGGAGUUCUCAAGCCCUGGUGAAUGUGAGUGAGUGGGAUGAGGAAAAAAAGGAUUCCUGCCAAAUCACUGGAGCAUCCAAACUGCACAGGCAUGGUGUAAGUGUACGACAUUAUCAACAGUGUCUGACAGAAUAGGAACUGAAAAAAAAAAAAAAAACCAUUCAAAAUAGGUACAAAAUAACAUUUAGACCCCAGCUACUUUGCUCUAAGCCACGAGUUGGUGGCUUGCUACACACUCCACAAUGGAACAACUCUGUCUGAAACAGGCUUUUGUAUCAAUGUUUUUGUAUGUCUUCUGCCACUUUAUUUUUGCUACACACAACCUACACAUAUGUGAUUCUAGUCCCAGCACUUUGUUGACAAAACCCAAAAGAACAUAUGGACCUGUCUAGAUAUUGGAGGUAUCCAGAAACAGUAUACAGAUAUCCAUACUCAAGCCUGAAAAAAAUAAAGAUGGGGGUGGCGGGGGAAAACCUGCCCUGACAGCAGGCAAUCUGGAGUCUAGUGACUGCUUCAUUUGCAUGUUCUUUGUUGCUAAAAUCAGGCUACAGCUUCAACUGAAAAAUUUUCUUCAUUUCUCAUCAGAAACAUCAUGCCAAAAACCAUUAGAAAGUGGAAGGUGGGUAAAAGAAUGGGCUGGGCACAGAUUAAGAUGAAGACUUAAGUAACAAAAAGAGCAAUCAAUCUUGGCAUGGGAAACUCUCCAACAGUAAUUUGGUAUCAGUUAUAUUACUUCCAUUAAUUUUUCACAGAUGUAAAAAGUUGUACAACUAUAAACUGCAAGAAGAUUUCACAAACGGUGAGGAUUUUGUCUGUGACCUGUUAUAACCCAGAGAGAACAUGCAACGGGAUUUGUAUUUUUCUACUGAGUAGCUAUUUUCAGAGGCAAAAAGCCAAACACUUGCAUAACUCAAUGUGACCAUUCUGUGUAUCUGUGGCAUUUGUUACUGGAGAACACUUUGAUCAACAAUGUUGAGCUGGUAAAAGCACAAGGUAUGCCUAGAGAGAGCAGCCAGUUUAAAUAUUAUAAAAAUUAGAGUAAAUAGGAUCUCAGUCCUUCCCCUUUUUUAGUAAAUUGAGUAAUUCUCCGAGCAU